UACGUAGGGUCCGAGCGUUGUCCGGAAUUACUGGGCGUAAAGAGCUCGUAGGUGGUUUGUCGCGUUGUUCGUGAAAACUCACAGCUCAACUGUGGGCGUGCGGGCGAUACGGGCAGACUAGAGUACUGCAAGGGAGACUGGAAUUCCUGGUGUAGCGGUGGAAUGCGCAGAUAUCCGGAGGAACACCAGUGGCGAAGGCGGCCUGCUGGGCUAUGGCUGACACUGAGGCGCGACAGCGUGGGGAGCAAACAGGG
rnacentral:rRNA from 1 species